rnacentral:tRNA from 1 species
GGUGUAGCUCAGUGGCAGAGCACAUGCUUCCCAUGUGUAAAGACCUGGGUUCAAUCCCCAGCACC